UGAAUAAAUAUCCAUUAUGAUGUAAUAUAAUUUAAAAUUAAAUUGUGUUGAUAUAAAAGCCGAGUGAUUGAGGUUUAUGGGUCUUAUUAGUUGAAUUAAAUAUAAAGAAAGCCUUGCUUUGACGAAAAUGGGAGUAAGAAUAUGGUUUUGUAUGUGUUUAUUUGCACUCUGCGUACCACUGGUAUCAUCUUUCUCAAGCAAAGUAUUGUAUUCAACCUACAAUGCAAUUAUGGAAUUCGAUCUUGAUACACGCAAUGUGACUAAACUGUUAGAGCCUGGAAGUAAUCGUGUGUUUGCCAUGGACUAUGAUUACAAACACAGAUUCAUUUAUUUUCCAAGAUACGAUACCCAUGACAUCGUUCGAUUUGCAUAUCCCUCAACGAACAGAACAUUACAUACAGUUGUCCAGACUGAUCCAUAUCCAAUAGGACUAGCUGUUGAUUCAACCAAUGAGCAUUUCUACUUUGUUGUUAUUGCUGCU